rnacentral:lncRNA from 1 species
AUGAUCUAGAAAUCUGUUUAUUUAAGCUAGGCUCUUACAAGUCUUAAAGGCAAAUUAGAAAUAUUGAGUAAAAUUGCUUUCAAAGUUAAACUGCCUUUAUUAUUUUUUUUUCUUGGUAGUUUUCUUGACUUCACUUAAUCUGCUGGAAGCUGAUCCUUUUCAUGUCCAUGUUUAAGGAAGCGUUGAAGGUCACGUCACUCAAAGCCAACAUCAGCAGGCAUCCUACCAAGAUAAUCUCUGAAGAGGUCAGAGGCACAAUUAUUACAAUUUAUUGUGGACAGGAAAACACAUGGAUGUUGAAUACCAGUUCCUGUGAAAGAUACUUGGGUUUCGGGAUAACAACAGUCCCAAGUCUUCAGAACAAAUCAACAGAAUUCAAUCAAGUAUUUCCUUGCACUUACUUGUUAUGACUUCUUAGUCUCUCCAGUCUGUGACAGUUACUCAUUUUCUCCCUGAUACAAG